rnacentral:rRNA from 1 species
CAGUAGCCGCGGGAAUACGUAGGGUGCAUGCGUUAAUCGGAAUUACUGGGCGUAAAGCGUGCGCAGGCGGUUAUAUAAGACAGAUGUGAAAUCCCCGGGCUCAACCUGGGAACUGCAUUUGUGACUGUAUAGCUAGAGUACGGCAGAGGGGGAUGGAAUUCCGCGUGUAGCAGUGAAAUGCGUAGAUAUGCGGAGGAACACCGAUGGCGAAGGCAAUCCCCUGGGCCUGUACUGACGCUCAUGCACGAAAGCGUGGGGAGCAAACAGGAUUAGAUACCCCGGUAGUCCCUGUCUCUUAUAC